CCUACGCUCCUCCCAGGUUCGCAUAGCCGUGUGCACCAGCUUUCCGGCAACGCAGUGGCCGUCACAGUGCAGCAAUUUCGCUUACUGGAUCCUUCUGACUGGUCCCUAUUUUACUUUCCUUGUGCAUCUUGGCGGCUGGAGGCUCGGGAAGAAUGCGGAGCCACUUGCGAGAGAUUUGGGGUGGAGCAAGUAAAACCCUCGUACAACCAGGAAGUGCUGCUGCCCCGCUUUGUGACCCUAAAGAAACCCUUGCGCGCCUACCCGAGUUUCGGUUUGAAGAGCCUCUAGCAAAAGUACAGUUCCUUUGAGGAAAAACGUAAAAACAAGGCAGGAGGGGGAGCCCACUGAGACGUUCCAAUUUAUUCACCUUCUGAAUGGUUGAGCGAUGCAAUAGGGGAGGAUAAGGCCCUUUGGACUUAUUUUUCCUGACAAAGUAGGGCAUGAGAAGCUGGAGGAAGAAAUUAAUCAGCGUAAGAAUCUAAAAUUAAAGAAAUGGAUUAUUUCCAUGGCAAGAGUGUGUUUUUGUUUUGUUUUUUUACGGUGCUGGGAAGGAAUGUGGUGUUGUCAAAACUCUUAACAGUAUUGUGCAUUCCGUUUUAGCAUGUACAAUCAGCAAUUUAUCUUUAUUUUUAGUUAAAUGAAGAGAAUGAAAGCAUGUCUUUUAUUAUUUACAAGAGUAUGUAUUUCAACAUUGUGUAACAACAUUAUCUUCUGUCUUACAUUGAUGUUGCUUUUUUAUUUCAUUAACUCAUUCAGGAUUGGGAAAUUAAAGGUUCUUUAUAUGUACAGAAAUAUGUACAUUUUCUUUUAUUUCACUGAAGUCAAUUUAUUUCAGGAUCCAUAUUCAUAUAUGUAAAAGCCUCUUCAAAGGUGCCAUUUGUUAGGAAAGUGGCACAGGACUGAAUCACAGAAGCAAGUUUAUUGUCAGGAAAUCUGACAAGGCUGCUUCUGUGCAAAGAGAACAGCAGCAGCAGAUUUCCUCUAAGCUAAACUGAUAAGUCAGAGUCUGGGUUAGGCAUUGGGGUUGGGCUUAGCCCUUGCUAUUACAGGUGGAAAGCAAACUUCAAAACCUCAGGGAACACAGAGGGGAGGGGGCAGGAGGAGCAGGCACGUUGUCUGGUAGCUCCUGUACAUAGUCAGAAAGUAGGCUAGUGUCUGUGAGCACUGUGUUCAGGGUACAGGUGGAGGUGUCAGCCUCUGUGUGAGUGUGUGGGCUCUUGCAGGAAGGGAAAAAGGGAGAGGGAGCAGGGUGAGGUGUCUGGGCAGAAUGGAGUCAGUUUAACUUAACUUUCUAAAUUAACCCAUAGUUAUGUUAACAGGCUAACCCCAUUUACUCCAAUGAUGUUUUCUGUCAAUACUAUUUUGCGUAUAACCUCUAUAAAUGUAGAAAUAUUGAAGUGUAUGUCCUCCAGAUUUAAGAUUAGUUUUCUCUCUUAUCCAUUUAACCACGUAGUUUACCCCUCCUCCUACACAACCCAUGAAGAGAUAAUAGCAAAAUUGUGGUAUGUAUUGAAGUUUCUAGCUUAAAGAAAUAAUCCUAAAUACCAAUGCACAUUGUCACAUGUGUGCUUUACAUGCAUAAACUGGUUUAACCCCUACAAUAUCAUAUGAAUUGGGUCUUACUACUAGACUGAUUUUAAAGAAACAUGCACACAGCUAGGAUUUGAAUGUAAAAGACUAUAAUAGUUAACCUAGUCAAUCAAACCCUUUUAAAGAACCAGAUAAUAAAAGGUUAAAUGACUUACUUGAAGACCUUGAGAGAGUUGCAAUCAGAACAUAAGUAUGUUUCCUAGUCCAUAAAUGAUUCUAAUUUGAAAGGUUUUGUAUUUUUUUAUUUGCUCUGGGUCCAGAUUUAGGACAGAUUCUAGCUGGGCAUGGUGGGUAGGCCUGUAAACCCAGGAAUUGGGGAAUCUGAGGCAGGAAAUCACAAAUUCAAGACCAGCCCAAGGAGUUUAGAAAGACUCUGUCUCUAAAUAAAUAAAUAAAAAGGACUAGGAAUGUAGCUCAGUAGUAAAGCCCUUCUCCAGUACCAAAACAAAUAACCAAAACAAGAACAGAUAAAUAAGUUGCAUUCUGUCUUUCAAAAGAUGUAAGAUAGGGGUUAAUCAACAGAGUCUAAAAUACCCUUCCAGGCUUCAGCUCUCUUUAUUUCAGUAAAUGGUUCCAUCUUUCCUUCUCCAAACCCAUUUUUAGUCUCUCCCUCUCUCUUUGUUCCCAUCUUUGUUUUGUAAAUAAUCUAUUGGCUCUUCCUUCAAAAUACAUUCAGGAUCUAACUAAUGAACACCUCUACUACAAUCUACAUUAUCUCUCAUUGGACUAUUACAGUACCCUAGGAACUGUCAAUUCUCAACACAAAAGUCAAACCCAUUAACAAGGAAGUGAUGUCAUACCCUUCCUCUGUUCAAAGUCUCCCUUGGAUUCCCAACAUAAAGCAAAAACAAAAGUCUUCCAAUAGCUUUCUAUCCUCCCCUCAUUACGUCUCUGACCUCACUCAGCCUUGUGUUCCUACAGGACUGUAUGCAAGCUCUCAACCCCAUAUUCUUUGCUGUUGCUGUUUCCUCUGCUUUGAACACUUACUCAUAAUGGCUUGCUCCCUCUAAUUGUGUUCAAAUGUCGUCUUUUCAGCCAGUCCUCUACUCCCCACCCUACUUUAAAUCCUAACAUUUCCAAAAUUUCUUAUUACCACCAUUAUGUUUUUUUCUCUAAUACUUACACAAUGUAAUAUAUGGUUUGUUUGGCUUAUUCAUCUUUAUUACGCUUCUCUAAAAUAUAAGAUUUAGAGGUGCAGGAAUUUGUGUUAUAUUCUGGAUCCAGAUUGCUAGGAAUGGUGCCUGCUACAAUCUUUGUAAAUAUGUUGAAUGAAUGAAUAUGUGCAUACACAUGAGAUUGUAUGUGUAUCAUAUACACACAUUAACAUACUGAUAUAUAAAGGGAUAAAAAGUGAACUUCUUUUUAUUUGUCAGCAAUUGCAUAUAAAGAGAAGAAUUGAAUGCAUAGAAUACAAUACAUCUCACUUCCACCAGCCACCUAUAAGAGUGCUGCUUUGAGCAAAGCAGCCUUCCUGUGUCACGUGCUUCUUCCAUGAUGUUUUGCCUCAUCACAGAGUGAAAGAAAUGGAAUCUCCGGCCAUGGACUGCACCUCUGAAACUGUCCAUGAAUAUCUUUAUGUUCAUCAUCUUACUGCAAAAGACAACUGAAACCCAGAAAGGUUACCAGUGCUUGCAAAUAGCCCAGAAUAGAUUCAAGAUAAGCAGAGGAGCCUGGCUGAAGAGGAGAAUGGACAUGAGUUCAUAAAGAGUCAUAGAGACAUGAAGAGUCUUGGUGUCAGAAGUACCAUGAACUAACACAGAAAUGCUUGUUAUCAUCUCUAAACCUCAAUUUUUCUUUAUGUAUCUACAAAACAGGAGCUCUCCUGGAUCCCAAGAUUCCAUUCUUUACUGGGACUUACACCAUUGACUGUUCUGAUUCUUAGACAUGCAGAUUUGUGUUGGAAUUGUAUCACUAACUAACUUGUGGGACUUCUCAGCCUCCAUACUCACGUGAGCCAAUCCCUUAUAAUAAAUCUGUAUGUAUCUAUGUAUAUCCUAUUGGCUCUGUUUAUCUGGAUAACACUAAUUAAUAUAUCCAGUAAUUCAUUAAUAAGCCAGUAAGUGUGUACCAACCUCUGAGCUAAUGACUGUAAAGAUGUGGACCUUUGAUAUAAGACAGUGUUAUCACACGCAAUUCUGUGACUUUUGUGACACAGACCCUCUCCUCCUCUCAAUGCAUCAGGUUCAGGUGUCACACAGGAAACUUACUCAUUCAUAUUGCACUGUAGCCAACUUGAAGUUGAGACUGAUACAUGGAGGAAAACAGGAUUAAGAGAAUGGAUUGGGUUUAAUGAACCACAACUAAAGUUGACUUUUGUACUUCUCAAGUAUGUGAGCUCAUACAGCAUAGUUUGCAUUUGAAAUAUCUGGUAUAGUUUGCAUUUUAAAUAUCUCCCAAAGGCCCAUGCAUUAAAGACUUGAUCCUUAGUUUGACACUAGAAGAUGGUAGAAAUCAUUAAGAAGUCAGGUCCAAUGGGAGGUUUUAGGUGGUUGAGAGCAUGCCCUUGAAGGAAAUUGUGGGAUACUGGUCUCUUUCCCUUUCCCUUUUGUUACCAAAGGUAAAGUGAGUAGGUUUCUCUACUACAUGAUUCCAUCAAGAUGUGCCACCAUAGCACAAAGAAGCAGGGCAAAUUGGUCAUGAACUAGCAACCCCCCAAACUGUUAGCCAAAACAAUAUUUUCUCUUCAUAAGUUAAUUCUCAGGUAUUUGUUAUAGCAAUGAAAAGCUGACUAACACACUCUCUAUAUUGUUUAAGUGAGUUUGAGUUAGCUUUUCAUGCUAUAUAUUUCCUAGAUGGGGUUGUAUACAAUCCCAUAUGUUUGUUUAGACUAGCAUAUUUCUAGCUUUUCUGCU